UUUUCGGAGCACCAUAAGUAAUUUGUUAUCUCUUAAUUUAGUUUAAUUUAUAUAACAGAACAUAACGGAACAUUUCACAAAAAUUGUAUUUAAAUCUAAUCGUUGUACCUCUAAGAACAGCCGAUUCCAAGCUACAAACAAGCUUCAAAACCAUUGCCUGUUUAACACCGUCGAGGAAUGUAAGUACGCAGCUGCUCUGUCUCCUAUUAUCUUUGUUCUGCAAAGGAGUUCUUUCGUCUCUAUUCUUCUCGUUCUUUGUGUCGAGGUGCGGAUAUUGUUCAUUUGCCCAAUCAAAUUGCAGCUUGUAAGAGCUGCGUACUGACCCAAGAAUGUUGAAUUUUGUAACGCAAAAGACUUUCAACAUUACCAAUUCGAUGUAUAUUUUUCAUAGAAAGGAAUAUGUCAGCAUAUGUCUGUGGAUUUAAAGUAAUUCCCAGUGGAAAAACAGCUAACUGCUCAUCCCUUCACCGGGAGCUUGCUCGUGAUUGGUCGGCGCUGAAUGGAGUAUUGACAGAUUGCCACAUAAUCGCAUUUAUGUUUACACAGCUUUAGCAGCAAAUAACUUUGCUAUGAGUUUCGCUUUAAUCUGCGUGCUUUAAGAAGCUAUUAUAUCAACGAAAUUCAUCGUAGAGAGUUCAUGUUUAAAAACAUUGUUUUAGUCGAUAACUCGAGAUGAAUAUCGUGUCUGCGAUUUUCGAGAGUCCUUUUUGCCAAGUUAAAAACUGUUGUGUAAUAAAAAUCGCAUAUCAGAACGUCAUACGACUUUGAAAAGUAUUUCCUUUCGAACAAAACAACCAAUAUAAUUUUCGCAGACACGAUUUUCGUUUGUGUUAUGAGCUGAUUGAUACUCUGCGAUUGAGCCAGUUUAAAGUGGUAACCCUGUGGUCCAAUAGCUUGAUAUGUUAACACUCGUCUUGUCAGUUUUUGGGGCGCACAUCAUACAGUAUUGACAAAGCAUGUAUCAAGAGUGUCUGUGUCCGAUACGGAUAAACAGUUACGAAUUUUGAUUAUGUUUCUUAGAUGGAAAAAUCACGCUUUGCAGAUAUUUGUAACUUUUGCUAUUUAAGGGACAUGCUUUUGUCAAAAAUAAUACAAAUAUUCCUUGCAGAUGAUUUCAGUAGAAUAUUUUCAGCAAAAGCAUUGACUAGUUUUAUUGCCGGGGGCGGACGAUCUUUAGCACAAAGAGUAAGUAGCUCAAUCUUUUCUUUAUUCAAUUUGAGCUUGAUAUUUGUCAUCCAGUUAUCGAUGUCACGAACGCAUGCUUCAACAAAAAUUCGUUUGUAUUACUAGGGUAAUAAAGGCUAAUGAACGCUAUUCACGCUAUUCACGCUGAAUACAUUAGAGCAGAGUAUAUAAGAUUAGUGAAUAUGAAUAAAUUAUUGAAUUGCUCAACUUAAGCGGGGUGAACGGUAAAUGCUUGGUCUGCUCUAAAUUUAUAUCGUUGUUGUACCGUUUCGAUUAAUUUUGUUUUAACUCUUCUACCAUUAUCAUUUUCUUGUUUCUAUGAAUACUGUUUCAUUUAGAUGGCUGAAGUAUAAUAUCUAGUAGCAGUAGCUGAUGUUAAUGUUGUUCCGGGCGAGGAGCCGGUAGCCCAUUUGCUCGGACAGAAGAAGAAACAAGACCACCCGCCGCAAGGCGGCCAAAGGCCUAGGUCAUAAGAAUAACCGAAGGUUUUGGAGGCGGGGACGAGAGUUCGUCACGCGAGACUAUGUACAGGCGGGGACGAGAGUUCGUCACUCGAGUCUAUGUACAGGCGGGGACGAGAGUUCGUCAAGCGAGGCUAUGUACAGGCGGGGACGAGAGUUCGUCACGCGAGGCUAUGUACAGGCGGGGACGAGAGUUCGUCACACAAGGCUAUGUACAGGCGGGGACGAGAGUUCGUCACGCAAGGCUAUGUACAGGCGGGGACGAGAGUUCGUCACGCAAGGCAAUGUACUGGCGGGACGGGAGUUCGUCACGCAAGGCUAUGUACAGGCGGGGACGAGAGUUCGACCAGUUGGUGCGAAAUUGGUGCGAUCUCAAUCUAAUUAACGUGGAUGAAAGACCUCACUAAGACACUUCAUCUGUAUGAGUUUGGUUUGAUUCGGAUCAAUUGCUAUUGAAUAAGAGCCAAUUGACACGAGUGGUAUUCUGUUAAUUUCUUCCUGGGAAUUGGUGCGAUCUCAAUCUAAUUAACGUGGAUGAGAGAUCUUACCAAGACCCUUCAUCUGAGUAAGUUUAGUUUGAUUCGGAUCAAUUGCUAUUGAAUAAGAGACAAUUGUCACCAGUGGUAUUCUGUUAAUUAUUUCCUGGAAAUUGGUGCGAUCUCAAUCUAAUUAACGUGGAUAAGAGAUCUUACCAAGACCUUUCAUCUAUAUGAGUUUAGUUUGAUUCGGAUCAAUUGCUAUCAAAUUAAAGCCAAUUGUCACGAGUGGUAUUCUGUUAAUUUCUUCCAGGAAAAUAAAGCGAUCUCAAUGUAAUUAACGUUGAUGAAAGAUCUUACGAAGACCGGGAUUAGGGCAAAUCAGUGACCCAUACUUUUCGAGCACGGCGCCCUAAACUUGAAAAAUAUGUAAAUAUAUUAUAAAUAUUUUAGUAGGUUAACGUCUAAUCUUGUUACUGGAAAAAUAUCAAAAGUGUUCUAUUCUAAGUGUUCUAUAAAGUUAUGGUGGUAAACGCAAAAAACCGUUGGAAAUUGGGGCAAUAUAGUAUGUAUUGACAGCCUCAUUAUAAAUAAAUUUUCACCCCUCUUAUAUCUUAGCAUAAAUGAAUAAGCGCCGCAUUCCCUGAAAGGCGCCCUAAAUGUAUGUAAAUAACACCGCGAUACUCAACAGAAAACCAAAGAAACCCGUGGAGUUUUAACCCGGAGCGACUUUUAGUUUACAAAAAAACAUUACUUUUUAAGUAUUUUUUUUUUACCCCUCGAGGUCUCAAACCUCGUUACCAAGUGACUUAGGUAACAGGAAUGAAAUAGUAUGAAAUGAACAUUUACUUUCCCAGGUCGUAGUUAUGAGGGUUCACUCACGCUUGCAAACCUUCCAACGUUGCACGAGCGAAGAAAUAUUGCAUGCCGGCGGUUCGUUUCCAGAAUCAAACCACAGAAUCCUCUUUUUCCUAUCAUUAAAGGGCGUCGCAUUACACAUGAUUCAGGGUAUAACCUCAGGUCUAAAUCUACAUCGUAUCAGAGGCCUAUCAAUACGAGUCGUUUCAACGAGUUCGUUACUGUUAAAUAUGCUGAUUACAUUUAAAUGCACGAGCGAAGAAAUAUUGCAUGCCGGCGGUUCGUUUCCAGAAUCAAACCACAGAAUCCUCUUUUUCCUAUCAUUAAAGGGCGUCGCAUUACACAUGAUUCAGGGUAUAACCUCAGGUCUAAAUCUACAUCGUAUCAGAGGCCUAUCAAUACGAGUCGUUUCAACGAGUUCGUUACUGUUAAAUAUGCUGAUUACAUUUAAAUUAAUUGUACUUUGUUGUAGUGCUUACUUGUAUCUCUGACUCACCUGUAAUCCAGCCGAUACUUCGAGAGGUUGAAUUAAACUUAUUAUUAC